rnacentral:miRNA from 1 species
CUCCUUUUCUUCCAGCGGCCCCCGCUUGCUUCCCUGUCCCCCCACCCCGCCCCCCGAAGUCAGAAGAGGCGGCGGGAGAGGGAGGGAGGGAGGGCGGGCG